AUCUUCAGGGCAGGGUUAAAUUCCCGACCGGCGGUAAAGUCCGCGAGCAAUGAACUCUAUUUAUUGAUUGCCAAACUUCAAGAGCAUAGCAAGAAAUAAAGUUUGCAUGAUUCGGUGAGAUUCCGAAACCGACAGUAAAGUCUGGAUGGAAGAAGGUA
rnacentral:ncRNA from 1 species